rnacentral:rRNA from 1 species
UUUGAUCCUGGCUCAGGAUGAACGCUAGCUACAGGCUUAACACAUGCAAGUCGAGGGGAAACGAUAUUGGAAGCUUGCUUCCGAUAGGCGUCGACCGGCGCACGGGUGAGUAACGCAUAUCCAACCUGCCCACCACUUGGGGAUAACCUUGCGAAAGUAAGACUAAUACCCAAUGAUAUCUCUAGAAGACAUCUGAAAGGGAUUAAAGAUUUAUCGGUGAUGGAUGGGGAUGCGUCUGAUUAGCUUGUUGGCGGGGUAACGGCCCACCAAGGCGACGAUCAGUAGGGGUUCUGAGAGGAAGGUCCCCCACAUUGGAACUGAGACACGGUCCAAACUCCUACGGAAGGCAGCAGUGAGGAAUAUUGGUCAAUGGGCGAGAGCCUGAACCAGCCAAGUAGCGUGCAGGAUGACGGCCCUAUGGGUUGUAAACUGCUUUUAUAAGGGAAUAAAGUGAGCCUCGUGAGGCUUUUUGCAUGUACCUUAUGAAUAAGGACCGGCUAAUUCCGUGCCAGCAGCCGCGGUAAUACGGAAGGUCCGGGCGUUAUCCGGAUUUAUUGGGUUUAAAGGGAGCGUAGGCCGGAGAUUAAGCGUGUUGUGAAAUGUAGACGCUCAACAUCUGCACUGCAGCGCGAACUGGUUUCCUUGAGUACGCACAAAGUGGGCGGAAUUCGUGGUGUAGCGGUGAAAUGCUUAGAUAUCACGAAGAACUCCGAUUGCGAAGGCAGCUCACUGGAGCGCAACUGACGCUGAAGCUCGAAAGUGCGGGUAUCGAACAGGAUUAGAUACCCUGGUAGUCCGCACGGUAAACGAUGGAUGCCCGCUGUUGGUCUGAAUAGGUCAGCGGCCAAGCGAAAGCAUUAAGCAUCCCACCUGGGGAGUACGCCGGCAACGGUGAAACUCAAAUGAAUUGACG